AACGAACGCUAUCGGUAUGCUUAACACAUGCAAGUCGGACGGACUAAUUAUGUCUUUCUCCUUUUAGUUAGUGGCAGACGGGUGAGUAACACGUGGGAAUCUGCCCAUCAGUACGGAAUAACUUUUAGAAAUAAAAGCUAAUACCGUAUAUUCUCUACAUAGGUAAGAUUUAUCGCUGAUGGAUGAGCCCUCGUCAGAUUAGGUAGUUGGUUAGGUAACGGCUCACCAAGCAGACGAUCUGUAACUGGUCUGAGAGGAUGAUCAGCAACAGUGGGACUGAGACAAGGGCGAGACACGUAAGGGAGGCAGAAGUGGGGAAAAUUGGAAAAUGGGCGAAAGAAUGAAAAAGCAAGACCGAGAGAGUGAUAAAGGAGGUAGGGUAGUAAAGAAAUUUUAGAAAGGAAGAUAAUGAGGUAACUAGAAGAAAAAGAACCGGCUAACACCGU
rnacentral:rRNA from 1 species